rnacentral:misc_RNA from 1 species
CUUACAUCCUUGUCACCCUGUUUACACCGGUGUGCACACGGUCUAUGUGGUUUCAAUAUGUCUAUGCACUACUAGGAGUUAGGAGGUACUGUUUCAUCGACUGCUGGUGAGAACACCAUGUUGUUAUGUCAACUACUCCACGAUUCCAACCGGGACAAUAAAUGACAACUACGUCUUCGUUCCCAACAUCUCUCACGUACUGAUGUUUUGAAUGGUGAUUAAAAUGACUAUAUUCCAUGCUUUCUCCGUGACUGUGAUGUUACUUCAAACCUGCCAGAGUGUGCUGUCACAAGAAACGCCAUAUCUGCCAUCAACAACAUCUGCUGACACGUCUACAACGACACAGGGGGAUUCACAGACGACGACAACAGCAACAACAACCGUCAUGGCAGCUGCAACUGAUGACUUCAUGAUGACAGCUUCAUGGACUGGCAACGAGGAUGCCCUACAGUCUACAACGUUAACGCAGGGUGUCUCUUCAUCUGCAACUACAUCUGUCACUGCAUCCCUUUCAACAACAUCUACGUCCACAAACCCAUCUACAUCUACACCCCCAAUUACACGAACAACUACAUACUCUACAGGCCUAGCUACAUUCCCAUCUAUGUCUGCAUCAACAGUUACAUUUACAUCCACAUCUUCAUCUGCACAUUACUCAGCUACUGCUACCUCCAUACACACAUCCCCAAUGCCAUCUGUAACUACAUAUGCUUCUACACCCUCAUCAGCAUCUAUAUCUGCAUAUCCGGCGCUAGCUAAAUCAACACCUACGUCUUCUACAUCUGGCCCAGAUGAUACGUCAACGACUUCUAUAUCUACAUCUGGCCCAGCAGAUACGUCAACGACUUCUAUAUCUACAUCUGGCCCAGCAGAUACGUCAACGACUUCUAUAUCUACAUCUGGUCCAGCAGAUACGUCAACGACUUCUAUAUCUACAUCUGGCCCAGCAGAUACGUCAACGACUUCUAUAUCUACAUCUGGCCCAGCAGAUACGUCAACGACUUCUACCACAGCCAACAAUGACGAGACGUCCAGGCUUAUUAUACCGGCUGUAUCCAGUGUAAGGUGUUAGCAAGGUACAGUGUGCUACGAUAUUCUUGCAGAGACGUCCAGGCUUAUUAUACCGGCUGUAUCCAGUGUAAGGUGUUAGCAAGGUACAGUGUGCUACGAUAUUCUUGCAGAGACGUCCAGGCUUAUUAUACCGGCUGUAUCCAGUGUAAGGUGUUAGCAAGGUACAGUGUGCUACGAUAUUCUUGCAGAGACGUCCAGGCUUAUUAUACCGGCUGUAUCCAGUGUAAGGUGUUAGCAAGGUACAGUGUGCUACGAUAUUCUUGCAGAGACGUCCAGGCUUAUUAUACCGGCUGUAUCCAGUGUAAGGUGUUAGCAAGAGACGUCCAGGCUUAUUAUACCGGCUGUAUCCAGUGCUGCUGCGGGUGUUGCCCUCCUGACCGUGGUCCUUGUGUCCGUGAUUUGUUACCGAAGAAGAUCACAGGAGAAACCCCUCGCCGAUGCAGAUGACAUCAGUUACCACAACUUCCGCGUCGGUCGAAUGGAGCUUCAGUCGGUCAGGAAAGACGACCCUUACCUGGACCUUGAUUCUGAUUUCACUAGCCAGGACGUU